rnacentral:rRNA from 1 species
GACGAACGCUGGCGGCGUGCUUAACACAUGCAAGUCGAACGGUAAGGCCCUUUCGGGGGUACCCGAGUGGCGAACGGGUGCGUAACACGUGGGUGAUCUGCCCUGCACAUUGGGAUAAGCCGGGGAAACUGGGUCUAAUACCGGAUAGGACUACGCGAUGCAUGUGGUGUGGUGGAAAGCUGUUGUGGUGUGGGAUGGGCCCGCGGCCUAUCAGCUGGUUGGUGGGGUGAUGGCGUACCAAGGCGACGACGGGUAGCUGGCCUGAGAGCUGGUCCGGCCACCCUGGGACUGAGAUACGGACCAGACUCCUACGGGAGGCAGCAGUGGGGAAUAUUGCACAAUGGGCGCAAGUCUGAUGCAGCGACGCCGCGGGGGGGAUGACGGCCUUCGGGUUGUAAACCGCUUUCAGCACAGACGAAGCGUAAGUGACGGUAUGUACAGAAGAAGCACCGGCCAACUACGUG